rnacentral:misc_RNA from 1 species
CUUGGGCAUGGUAAAGACCCUUCUUACUUCUCUUGUUGAACAAUGCAAUGAUCUCUGUGAUCUCUCCGUCAGCAUCAAUUUCACUCAUGCAGUGGCAGAAGGGUUCUCCAUUUGAUCUGAGCAGCAAUUAUACACUUGCUGCAUCUUUGACAGCUUCAUUAAAUGAGGCAGCAAGGUAUUCUGCAAGGCUUUGUUGAGAACUGGACUUGUUAGAAGACUCUGAAACUCUUGGCUUUUUCAUGGUAACUGAAUUUGAAGAGCCAGGUGUAUGCAAAUUAUUCACUGCACUGUCCAGACCCCUCCACACAACAGGUUCUAAAUUUUGCCAUGGGUCUUCAACCAUUGACUUGUCAUAAAAAGGCUCUGGGCCCAAUUUCUCAUCUGGAGCAGUUCCACGAAAAUGAAACCCCCGCCCUCUCCUAC